UGUUGAUUUCUGAAGAAGACACGGAGAGAUGGAAAAAAGCUAGCCCAACAGAAACCAAUAAGUAAGGAACUGAAGUUAAAGUCUUAAAUACUACACUGUCUGUAGAUGGAAAAGGGACUACAUCAUCAGACUGAUUCAGUUCUACAAGUUCAAAAUUGAGGACUCUGCUGAACAUUGAGGAAAAAUACCGUAUUGGGAGAAGAUGGCAAGAGUCUGAUUCAAACUUCCAGUCUACCCUUAAAGAUGUGGACCGUGAGCUCAGAGUCCAACUGUAAGGCUAGAACUGAAUCAAGGGAGAGAGCAGUCGUCCUCCACCUGAGAAGAAUAUAUCCAGCUUUGCUUCAAAUGGGCAGGGCAUUGCCAUUAGACUUUCCAAGCAGGUAGCCAAUUGAUUUUCAGGAAUCAUGUGAUCCCUCUUGGCAUGUCUACUUCUGCUUUAAUGACACUAUUGAAGAAGAUGAUGUUUCGAGGAGUCUAAAAAGGCGAGGGAUUGAUGCCUUACAUAUGAAGACUCGGGCAGCUGAGGAAAAGUGGCCAAGUGGUCUAAGGGGCCAGUCACACCAAAAGCGUUUAUGGCAGUUGCAGGCGCCUUUUUUGAAUGAUAUUCUAUGGGCAGGGCGCGUUUACGCGCUGUUUAUGUGCACCGAGCGCCUCGCGUUUUUUUGCCGCCUGCCGCGCACGCGUUUUUGAAGGAGCGCUGAGAGCGGAGAAGAGCCCGACGUCAUUCGGGUCUUUCCAUUGUCCAAUCAAAUGAGGGGAGAGGCGGGCCUUACGUUGUGGUGAGUGAAGUUUACAGUUGCUUUGAAAAACCGGACUCCA